rnacentral:lncRNA from 1 species
GACCUGGAUCUUUGGCUUUGGCGUGUUGAAACUAGGGUAAGUGUUCUUGGCGGCGUUGUUCUGGUGGUAGAGGCGGCGUUGCAGAUGAAUAAUGUUGUUGGAGUUCAAUCCCCAUCCCGGCAGGCGGUGUGUGCUUUUGGAUCCAUAGAUUCGUUGAGCUUUGGUGCUUUAGGUAUGGUUGUUCCUGGUAUGGAGGAGCACAUGGAUAUGUGAUUUCGGCUUCAGCUUUGGCGAUCUUUCCACCAAGGCGAUGGUCCAAUAGGAUCGGUGCUUCGAUGACUUCCCGUCCGCGUGAACUACAAGGUUAGCCUGACUCCGGUGUGGGAAGGGCAUCGGCGGCGCGCCAUCAGCACAUCGGGGUGGAAGACGAUGGCCAGUUCCCCAUG